rnacentral:tRNA from 1 species
ACCCAGCAGGCUUAGUCAGUAGAGUAUGUGACUUUUGAUCUCAAGGUCAUAAGUUCAAGUUCCAUGUUGGGCA